GCUAUAAUGAUGUUCUUCUUCCAAUUAAAUGUUUUUUGCUUUUUUGUUUUUCUUUUUUCUGUUUUAUUAUCCCAUGUCCAGAUGGGGGACUUACAGAGCACCUUUCUCUUGGCUUGCAUUUCUAUGGCUUCAGUUUGACAAUUAUUAGGCAGUAGGCUCCAUGAAAGUAGGGCUCCCUGUGCGUUGUUCACCAUUAUUUUCCAAGUACUUGGCAUACAAUAAAUUGCUUUUGAAUCAAUGAAUGAAUUAAUGGAUGUACUGGCAAUCAGAGAAUAUCGCUGAGCCUUUAAAUGCUUAAGAUAUGCUAUCUCAUGGCUAUACUCCUUGUCCAUUAUUUCCACAUUGUCUUGUAUGGGUUAAGGGGAAAAUGUACUAGGCCCCAGAGGGAAUAGCUGGCAGGAAAUGUGCUUUGCUAGGCUGGGGCUUGCAUCACAGACUUAAAGAAUUAACCAGAGACCAAGUUAUUUGGGAGGCCCACCACAGUAAUAAUGGAAGAGAUUUAGGCCAGGAAAGCUCACUCCAGUCACACUUGCUGGAUCUUAAUGUGCACCUGUCUUACGUAGGGUUCACUUUGGAUCAGGGUGGGACUGAGCCCACAGCUAAAUAUUAAAAUGGAAAUUCCAGCAUCGAUGAAAACAUUUCAUCUGGCUCUCCGAGAAAGAAAAUUUCACGGGACAAAUUCAGUGCAUAUCAGCAAAGAUGAAUUUAACCAUAUUUUGUGCUUUAGUCGGUGAUAAAAAGAAACAGUGAUGAAUGUGAUGCAAAUUCUGCCCUCAAGGAGGUUACAAUCUGCCAGAGCCGUGGACACUGGGAAUACAUCAAUGAUCGACAUGAACAAAAAUCCUUGCUUAAUGGCGCUUGAACUCUGGUCUACAUACAAACGAAUUUGUUCAGUGCAUUAUAGUUUGAAACAGGUAAGGGACAAUCCCGCGGAGACCACGUGGGACAAGAAUGGUGCAGACACACGGAAGAGGAUCAGUACAGCCUACAGAAGAGGCAUCUGGGCCGGCAGAACAGAAACUGUUCUCUGGUCGCACAGAUUAAGGAAAACCACAAUUUCGCUGGUGAGGAAGAGCUGGAGUCUGACAUCAUCUUUGACAGGGCAAUGUCUCCAGUGGGUAAGCCGGAAGCGCACAGGAGUAAACCGUGCCCGGGCCUCCUUAGGGAGCACGCAUUGAGCCAUUAGUAUAGUGUCUUCCAGGGAGAGGCGAAGACUGCAGGGAUGCUCAGUAACCCCCAGGACGCUUCCCAAUCCUGGGCCACCCCAAACAGCACCUCUUUCCUGCCUUCUCCUGGGUCCUGUACCUAACCAUUUGUUCUGGAGUUAUCAGACGAGGGGCUUUUUAACAUGGAAAUGUCAUUCGUAAGCUUAGAUCAGGGAUGUCCAGGGAAACUGCUCGGGGGCACGGAAGGGCCUGGGCAAGCCUAGAUUUAGGAGUAAGCUGAUCUCCCCUGCUUGGUGCUUAUCUGAGGUGUCCUCAUAUAAACUGCUUGUUUUGCUGUUACUUUUGAUCUUGCCUUUAAAAGAAGACCAUGAAAGUGAAUUACAUAAGACUAAAUGAAUUAAAAAUUUAUUUACUAAGAGGUAGAAAUAAUAACUGAUAAUUCUAGCAAAACAGUUUAAAUCCUAUCCAGCAAAACUGCCCCAAAGGGCAAAAUUAUCUUACUCAAGUUCACACAGUAAGUGUCUGAGGUGGGAUUUGAACAGGGUCUGCCCAUCUCCAAAUCCCAUGCUCUUAGCCUCUGCACUGUAAUGUCUCUUUUAAGGGAACAUCUCCAGAAAAGUCCAAAGAAGCAGAGGUUGAAGUUCCAGUGCAGAGCACACCAAGGACAUUAAGGACAACAAGGGCCAGGCAGGAUGCAGACAGGCCAGCCCGGCUCACGGGGCUUCCUCCCUGCGGACUCCACUCUUCUGACUCCAUCACCUUUCCUUCCUCACAGGCCUCUCACAGCAGGUACCUGGAGAACAGGAGGUCAUUAUGGCUUCGUCAUGCUCUGAGAGAGUCCGUGCGCAGGUGCUGUGACCGUUGCACAGGAUCCACAAAGAUCCCCAGACAGACAGGGUCACUGCUGGGGUUUUAAGAAGCUUUUAGGAACUCUUUUCUGACAGUGACCAGUAUUUUUGUGAUAAACAGCCCUGAGACUCAGUGAAAAAACAAAUCAUUAAUAAUAAUCAGCCAGCCACAAGCAGUUGAAGAUAGCAUGGUCUCUGGAACAAUCUAUUACCUCCUCAGUUUUUCCAUAUUUGAGUCCUAGUUAUCCCCUCAGGAACCCCAGAGAACAAUCUAUUUGUUCUUCUAAAUGCCUAGAGACUGUGUUCACGCUCCCCCAAUCCUAAGUCCUUAUGUGACGUGAUUCUGCGUUUCCUCUCCGUUUAAGUCACUAUGGUGGAGGGAGGCAGGUAAACAAAUAAGAGCAACAGAAGGGAAUCAAUGCUAUAACGCAGGUGCGUACAGUUGCCCAAAGGAAAGAACAGCCAAACCCAACAGAAUCCUGUUAUACAGACAUUUUAUUUCUAGAAAGGCAGCCAAGAGAGCCUUAUUCAUUUUGACCAUCACCUCAGAACGCCAGUCCUUGCCUUCUCCAGCCCUGGAAGGACACACCAGUGACUCUCACCUGUUUCAAAGCCAAUCCUUCACAAGACAGGUGCACACUAGGAUUCAGCAAGCAUGACUAGGCUGAGGCUUCCAGCCAUAAGCAGUGAGGUAUCUGUUAACAGGCCAUGUGACUGAAUACCUACAGUUGUGGAUAACAGGGUCUCUGGGACAACCUAUUCCGUCUUCAGUUUUUUCUCAUGAUGAGUACAGGAAAAAAAAAAAGUUUUCUUGUACUUCCCUUACAUGAGUUCUAAGAAUCCCCUCAGGAAACUCAAAAACAAAUAUAUUCAUUCUUCUAAACACCUGAAGACUCUCUUCAUGCUCGUUCAACCCUAAUCUAUUCUGAGACACAAUUCUGAGUUCCCUCUCCACCUAACCAACCCAACUCCCUCUAUCUUCAAAGCCAGCAGUUUUAUUCAAUUGGUUGGUGACACCGCUGGAAGUUGGCAUUAGAGAUAGAAGUAGUCAGGGGAGUAGUCCUGCAGCCCUCCUCUACCCACCGCCCCAGCCUUUUCUCUCCUUCCUAUGUAACAUCUGCCUUCCCCUCUGCGAAUGGUAGAAGCAGUCUCGAGUUGACUGAGUACAUCCCUGAAUGCCUUCUAGGCUCUUCCCACAACCCCAGCUAAUAUCCUAUGUCUUUGAAAAGUCUUCAUCUAGGAUGUGAUUGGUGAAAAGCCCCCACCACUCAAAAGGCUGGUGAAAGUGAACUGGAUGGGUCUAUGGAGGACCAUGUGUGAUGAUAGCUGGGACUUGAAGAAUGUUGCCAGUGUGUGCCAAGAUCUAGGCUGGGGACCUGCCAAAGGAAUACUUGAGGGGAAAUAUGUAAGCCUCUGGCAGAAGGCAUGCAACCAACCUUCACCCAGGAUGUCAAUGUGGAAUGAAAGAUAUACUGGCUCAGUGGGAGGAAAAUUGCAAAGUCUUUGAAUCUUGGCCCUGUGAGGAUGCAGGUGUAAAGGUGAGUAAUGGCAGAGUUCAACAUCUGUCUGUCAGCUGCUCCCAUUCUGCGUGGCCACCUUGUCUUGUCAUUAUUCCCUCCCGUGGACUAUCAUAUAGACUGCAGUGGCCAAUUGGACUCUCGUAGCAUGUAACAUCUCACACUUUCUCAUUUGUGAGUCCUUGAGAUUAAUAUUAUCCUUAUCAGGAAUUGUUUACCCCAGGCUAUAAGAAAAAGCUUCCUCCUUUUUUCUAAUUACAUAUAAGAAUUUAUCUUUUCUCAACAUGCGCACGUAUGCGUGUACACACACAUGUAUAUACAAUUACUAUGUCAAACAAUUACUAAAUGUCAAACUAUUACUAAAUAUCUGUUGAAUAUUGUGUCUUGCAUCUGGAGUCAUGGUAAGGGAUGAGCUUCCAGAGAUGAGCUCACAAGCCGGUAUGAACGGAGUCCAGCACAUCACUAGCUGCAUAAACCAUGAUAUAGCCAUAAUUUAGAAUACUAUUUAGGAGAUUAAAAGAAUAAGGUAGUUGUCUAUAGGGUCACUAUGAGUCAGCAUCGACUCAACAGCAAUGGUUUUUUGUUUGUUUUGUUUUGUUUUUGGAGUCCUGGUGGCUCAGUGCUUAAGAUCUAUGGCUGCUAACCAAAAGACCAGCAGUUCAAAUCCACCAGCCACUUCUUGGAAACCCUGUGGGGCAGUUCUACUCUGUCCUAUAGGGUUGCUAAGAGUCGGAAGCAACUCCACGCUAUGGGUUUGGUUUUUUUUUGUUUUUGUUUUUUCUUAAUUAGGUGGCCUGGAAAGAUCACCAGGACAGGCUUUUACACAGGGAAGAAAAUUGUAAAACUAUAUGGAAAAAUUUCACAUCAUUUAUGUUGGAAAAAAUCACACAUACAUGAAACAAUCUUGCAGAUACAUACGUAUCUAGCCUGGAAGAAUCAAUCCUAAAAUCACAACAACAACUACAUCUAGAGAAGGGAUUCGUGUUCACAGAUAUGUUCAAGGGGCACUCCAAUUUUACCUGUAGUGUUCACAUUUUUGCAAGAGUGAACUUAUGUGUACUUGUGUGAUUCAAAACUAAUCUGAAAAUCAAAGAAAAACAUUGUAACUUGCUAAUAAUUAAAGAAAAAAUAAAACAUUUGUCACAAGUCAUAACACUACUGAACCUCAAUAAACUGGGUCUCUGCUUUCCCUUUAAGAUCCAUUUUGGUAAGGUGGCAUUUUCAAAAAGUACAGAAAUCCAAUCCCCACAAGUACUGAAAAGUAACACAGGAUUUUAAAGACUACCUCUUGAGGAGGGGCAAGAGUAGAGAGUGGUAAAUAUGAUGGAUAUCACAACACACAGCACACAGCAAAAUUUUCUAAAAUUCUUUUUUUAGGUAUUUCUCUUGCCAAAGUUCACUCGUCAUAGUACCUGCUCACCCCAGAUCGAUUUUCUUUUUUCCCCAAUCCUCCAAUUCCCUGACCUCACCCUACACCUUCUAUCCCAACCUCUCCACUUUUCUUCCUUCUCCUCCUAUCUUCCAGAGGUUUCCUCCAUAUCUUGCCCCUGCAUGUCUUCAAUUCUCCUCUCUUCACUACAAUGAUCCUAGAAGCUGUCGCUGCAGAUUCAGAAGCUGACAUGGAAGGUAUCCCUAAUACAAUCAUACGUUGUAUAAAUAUCUGUGAGAGUUGUACUCUGGCCAGCUACGACGAUGAAGAGACUUUAUAAUGGAAUUAGUUGGAUCCAAUCAAGUGGCAAAGAGGCAAGCCGAAGACUGGUUGGGGCGGGGCAGGGUAAUCAUAGCCUCUAAUCAGAUGUAAGACAUCAUUUGAAUCCAGGGACAGUGAGCUGCAUGACCAUUUCACUUCCAGGGCAUAGAUCUGAAGUUCCUGUUGGCAUGGAGUCCCUAAAACCAAAAAACCAAACCCAUCGUGGUGGAGUCAAUUCCGACUCAUAGCGGCUCAGCCGCAUGUCGCUGUGAUGGCUGAGGUUAAGGUGUUGGACUUGAAAUUCAGUGUGGUCUCCACGUGCUCACAGCCUCUGUACUUUUAAACCCUGGUGGCGUAGUGGUUAAGAGAUACGGCUGCUAACCAAAAGGUUGGCAAUUCGGAUCCACCUGGCACUCCCUAGAAACUCUAUGGGGCAGUUCUACUCUGUCCUAUACAGUCUUUAUGAGAUGGAGUCCCCAAGUGGUGCAAAUUGUUAAUGUGUUCAGUUGCUAAUGGAAAGUUUCAAGGUUCCAAUCCACCCAGAUGUACCUUGGAAGAAACACAUGCUUCCAAAAAAGCAACUAUUUAAAAACCUAUGAAAAAAAAAAAAAAACCUAUGGAGCACAGUUCUACCCUUGACACACAUGGGGUCACCAUGAGUCAGAGUCCACUUGACAGCGCCUGAUAUCGGCAUGGAAACAAUAAAAGAGGGUUCUACUUAUUUUUCACAAUUUUGAGGCAAAUAACUUUGAAGCUCAGCCCAAAUCUCUGGUCUGUGUACAACUUCAGUCUACCAGCACCAACCCUGUAAAGUCACGGUGCUUGGCAGAGUGGGGCAGAGAUUGGAGGUUGUCCCCCAAACACUUAUUCUCCCUUUCUUAUUGGAGGCAGCAAUGUAACCAGAUGAACACCAAUGUUUCCCAUGUCUCCCUUUGCAGAUAAGGGUGGCCAUAUGACUGCAUUCUAAACAAUGGUAUGUAGGCAGAAGUUGCUGGUUGAGAGGAGAUGAAGUUGACUCAACUUAGAGGCCUUUUUACUCUUCCUCUUUCUUCCUUUCUCCUUUCUGGAAUGGAAUGUUGUGUCUGUGACCUUGAGGCAACCUUUAGGAUAGAAGCCAUGUGGUAAGAAAUGUAGAAUAGAAACCUAGAAGGAGCCCAGAACAUUGAAAAGGACAGAGAUGCCAAACUAAGUAGGAGGAAGUUAAUAUCUUGGGUGAAGAGUGGACUUUGAACUGGAAGAGACCCUGAGCGGGCCAAUUGGGUUUUGUGAAACUCUUUCCAAAGACUCAAUUUGGGCUCCUGUAGGCAUUAGGUGCAAGAAAAACAAAUUUCUAACAUCUUUAAGUCAUCAGCAUUUCAGGUUUCUGAAAUUAGCACUUAAGCAAAUUCCUAACAUUUAGUAACUCCAGAUUGCUUCAAACUGCUAAAAUUAUUUCCUUAAUGGGUAACUGACUUAGCCUGCUGAAGGCAUAAAUGAGAAUUGAGAUGAUGAAGUAAAAGCAAACACAUUUCAUUAAUAUUUUCUCUAUGUUAAGAAGGAAUCUUUGGAUAUUUAAUGUUUUCAAUAUCUCAACUAUUUAAAAUAAUUUAGCAUAUUGGAUUAUCUGAUAAAUUAACCAUGAGGUUCUAAUUUCAAACAUGUGCAAUAAGUAAAUUAUUUAGAAGUGUGGUUUUAGGUUGAAAGUUAUAAGAGAAUAUUUUACUAAGUUUGUAAACAUCAUUGAGAAGAGCUUAAUAGUCAUCAUGUUUAUUAAAAAAAAAAUUUUUUUUAAGUGUAAUUUAUUUGAUUUGUGCUUACUUAAGUACGUGAGAAUAUUUGUUAGUCAAGCAGUUUACGGGGAAAGAAAAUCAAAUAUGGUGCAUUAAAUUUAUACCUGCAGUUAAAAUGUUCAAGAAAUUUAAUUAACUAAGCUAUCAACUUCACCUUUAAAACUACUUGUUAAAUUUCAUUAACAUCAACUUACAUGUGUAAGCAUUAUUUUUUGUUUUUCUGUUUUUGAUUUUGUUGUUACUCAACACACUGAAAACAUUUAAACCAUAAAUGUCUUCAAAAUCUUUUGGUUCCCACAAGCCACGCUCAGAGACACAACAGAACUCACAGGAACACCCUCCUUAGAUUAUCCUGAUAAACUGAAUCGUGCAGUCUGAACAAGGAACUCUCCACAAAAGCCAGGCUAGGGGAACGCUGAAUAGUCAAUACUUUAGUUUUUUUCCCUGCCACUGAAAUUGCCGUAAUAUUUGCAAAGGUGUUCACAAAAUCUAAUUGGAUCACGCAGGGUCCCUUCAACUUCAAAGCCCAUUCUCAUUCUUGAGAUGAUCUCGCUCUUACUGGGUUCACAUGGCUCCUCUGUCACCCUUUAGGGUGACUGCCUGGAUCGGCCUAGACAUAGCUUUUCGAUUUUUUUUUUUUUUUUAGUAAACUUUAAAU